rnacentral:rRNA from 1 species
CGGCGAGUGAAGCGGCAAAAGCUCAAAUUUUAAAGCUGACAUCUUCGGUGUCCGCGUUGUAAUUUUGUGAGGCAUCUCCGGGUAGGGCGCCGGCCUAAGUUCCUUGGAACAGGACGUCACAGAGGGUGAGAAUCCCGUGCUUGGCUGGCUGUCCCCGUCCAUGUGAGGUGUCUUCGACGAGUCGAGUUGUUUGGGAAUGCAGCUCAAAAUGGGUGGUAAAUUUCAUCUAAAGCUAAAUAUUGGUGGGAGACCGAUAGCGCACAAGUAGAGUGAUCGAAAGAUGAAAAGCACUUUGAAAAUAGAGUUAAAAAGUACGUGAAAUUGUUGAAAGGGAAGCGCUUGAGACCAGACUUCGGUAAGGGGUGAUCAGCCGUCCUUCUGGGCGGUGCACUUGCCCCCCUCCGGGCCAGCAUCGGUUGAGGCGGCGGGAUAAAGGUCCCGGGAAUGUGGCUCCUUCACGGGAGUGUUAUAGCCCGGGUGAAUGCCGCCAGCUUCGACCGAGGACCGCACCCGCAAGGGUUAGGAUGCUUGGCAUAAUGGUCUUCAGCGACCCGUCUUGAAACACGGACCAAGGAGUCUAACAUCUAUGCGAGUGUUUGGGUGUCAAACCCUUGCGCGAAAUGAAAGUGAACGGAGGUGGGAACCCGCAAGGGCGCACCAUCGACCGGUCCCGAAGUCUUCUGAAGGAUCUGAGUAGGAGCAUAGCUGUUGGGACCCGAAAGAUGGUGAACUAUGCCUGAAUAGGGUGAAGCCAGAGGAAACUCUGGUGGAGGCUCGCAGCGGUUCUGACGUGCAAAUCGAUCGUCAAAUUUGGGUAUAGGGGCGAAAG